rnacentral:rRNA from 1 species
GACGAACGCUGGCGGCGUGCUUAACACAUGCAAGUCGAACGGAAAGGCCCUGCUUUUGUGGGGUGCUCGAGUGGCGAACGGGUGAGUAACACGUGAGUAACCUGCCCUUGACUUUUGGAUAACUUCAGGAAACUGGGGCUAAUACCGGAUAGGAGCUCCUGCUGCAUGGUGGGGGUUGGAAAGUUUCGGCGGUUGGGGAUGGACUCGCGGCUUAUCAGCUUGUUGGUGGGGUAGUGGCUUACCAAGGCUUUGACGGGUAGCCGGCCUGAGAGGGUGACCGGCAACAUUGGGACUGAGAUACGGCCCAGACUCCUACGGGAGGCAGCAGUGGGGAAUAUUGAACAAUGGGCGGAAGCCUGAUGCAGCAACGCCGCGUGCGGGAUGACGGCCUUCGGGUUGUAAACCGCUUUCGCCUGUGACGAAGCGUGAGUGACGGUAAUGGGUAAAGAAGCACCGGCUAACUACGUG